rnacentral:rRNA from 1 species
UACACAAAUAUGAAGGCGGGCUGGAAUCUCUCGGGGUUACAGCCUUGCUGAAUUAUUCACCCUUGUCUUUUGCGUACUUCUUGUUUCCUUGGUGGGUUCGCCCACCACUAGGACAAACAUAAACCUUUUGUAAUUGCAAUCAGCGUCAGUAACAAAUUAAUAAUUACAACUUUCAACAACGGAUCUCUUGGUUCUGGCAUCGAUGAAGAACGCAGCGAAAUGCGAUAAGUAGUGUGAAUUGCAGAAUUCAGUGAAUCAUCGAAUCUUUGAACGCACAUUGCGCCCUUUGGUAUUCCAAAGGGCAUGCCUGUUCGAGCGUCAUUUGUACCCUCAAGCUUUGCUUGGUGUUGGGCGUCUUGUCUCUAGCUUUGCUGGAGACUCGCCUUAAAGUAAUUGGCAGCCGGCCUACUGGUUUCGGAGCGCAGCACAAGUCGCACUCUCUAUCAGCAAAGGUCUAGCAUCCAUUAAGCCUUUUUUCAACUUUUGACCUCGGAUCAGGUAGGGACUAACCCGCUGAACUUAAGCAUAUCAAUAAGC